CUUGAACACUGAAUUGAUCUAUUGCAGUUUAAGUAUAUCAUAAUAUCUGCUACCUCUUUUUGUUCUGACUUAAUUAUUAGUUGUUUUGUUUGUUUGUUUUUUGUUCCAUGUCAGCUUGCUGAGACACAUGUGACUGGGUAUGUGUUUUUUUUUUCUUUUCUCUCUAACCUAGCAAGCUUUGACAGCACUGGAAAGCGUUCUUUGUGAAUUUUCCACACAUGGGUUUGGGGAUGGUUUGUCCCACGGUCUGUCGCUAAGAUAUUCUGUUCAUUUUCUCAUAGAAGGACAUUAGGCCUGGGUUGACGGAGAAAUCUUCUAGCCACUUUGUAAACUGUAUUUGUGUUUGGUGCCACGGGAUCUCAAACGCAAUGCAAGGUUCUAGCUGGUGCCUCUUUAGGGAUCUGGCAACCCAAAGAAGGAAUUUAUCUGGAUGGGCCUGGCCUUAACUGGGAAGUGUCCGACGG